GAUGAACGCUGACAGAAUGCUUAACACAUGCAAGUCGAUGGGGAAGUGGUGCUUGCACCAUGGUAACCAUGGCGGACGGGUGAGUAACGCGUAAGGAACUUGCCUGCGGGACUGGGAUAACAGCAGGAAACUGCUGAUAAUACCGGAUAAGGUCAUUAAGCUGCAUAGCUUAGUGAUGAAAGGAGACGCCUGCGGAGAGCCUUGCGUCCUAUUAGCUAGUUGGAGGGGUAACGGCCCACCAAGGCGAAGAUAGGUAGCCGGCCUGAGAGGGUGGACGGCCACAAGGGGACUGAGAUACGGCCCUUACUCCUACGGGAGGCAGCAGUGGGGAAUAUUGGACAAUGGGGGCAACCCUGAUCCAGCAAUUCUGUGUGCACGAAGACGGUUUUCGGAUUGUAAAGUGCUUUCAGCAGGGAAGAAGGAAGUGACGGUACCUGCAGAAGAAGCGACGGCUAAAUACAUG
rnacentral:rRNA from 1 species